rnacentral:rRNA from 1 species
UACAGAGGUGGCAAGCGUUGUUCGGAAUUACUGGGCGUAAAGGGCGCGUAGGCGGCCUUCUUAGUCGGACGUGAAAUCCCCAGGCUCAACUUGGGAACUGCGUCCGAUACUGGAUGGCUUGAGUGCGGGAGAGGGAUGUGGGAUUCCAGGUGUAGCGGUGAAAUGCGUAGAUAUCUGGAGGAACACCGGUGGCGAAGGCGGCAUCCUGGACCGACACUGACGCUGAGGCGCGAAAGCUAGGGGAGCAAACGGG